UACGAAGGGGGCUAGCGUUGCUCGGAAUCACUGGGCGUAAAGCGCACGUAGGCGGGUCUUUAAGUCAGGGGGGAAAUCCUGGAGCUCAACUCCAGAACUGCCUUUGAUACUGAGGAUCUUGAGUUCGGGAGAGGUGAGUGGAACUGCGAGUGUAGAGGUGAAAUUCGUAGAUAUUCGCAAGAACACCAGUGGCGAAGGCGGCUCACUGGCCCGAUACUGACGCUGAGGCACGAAAGCGUGGGGAGCAAACAGG
rnacentral:rRNA from 1 species